AAGCUUUGUUCAGUCUAAUGGUGUCUAUAUUUGCACACUAGGUUGAGGUGUGUUUGCCACGGAUCAUUUCCAAAAAGGAGAUUUUGUUGUGGAGUACAGGGGAGAAUUGAUAAGUUUCAGUGAAGCAGAAAAGAGGAGGACAACGUACGAUGACAGAUGUGCUGUCUUCUUAUUUGAUUUCUAUUGGCAAGAAAAAUGGUGGUGUAUUGAUGCAGCUAUAGAAGACGGAAGUCUUGGAAGGCUUGUGAAUGAUGAUGACAAGAACCCAAACUGCAAAAUGAAGAUCAUUGUGGAUGGUGAGCCACACCUCUGUCUCUUUGCUGUAAGGGAUAUUAGUCCUGGAGAAGAAGUAACUUAUGACUACGGUGGAACUGAUUGGCCAUGGAGGACAAAGGGAGAGCAGUCAGCUGCGAUUAGUUGUGUAGAAACUCAAGACUGUGGAACAUCUGAACAUCAGGUUCCUCCGAGAUCAUCUCUGUCCAAGAAAAAGGCAAUACGAUUUGCAAAUAAUGAACUUGUUUUAGUAUUGCAUUUCCACCUGGAAUUAAAUUCAGAUCUAGUUUAGACCAGUGGUUCCCAGCCCUGUUCCUGGAGGUCCCUCUACUCUGCACAUUUUGGUAUUUAAUCUGAUCCAAGCAUAACUGAAUCACCAAAUCAGCUAAUUAACAAGCCCUCCCUUAGUUGUAGGUGGUGGGAUGAAGCAGUAAACCAAUAAAAUAUGCAGUGCAGCGAUCCUGUAGGUCCAUGCAUGGAAUCCACUGGUUUUCUUCCAUUGUAAUACAAGUCUCAGUUAUUCUACACAGCACUGUCUGGUGUUUAUGACGUCAUGGGGUCCAGAAGAGUUGCUGUU